GACGAACCGUGCGAACGUUGUUCGGAAUCACUGGGCUUAAAGGGCGCGUAGGCGGCUUGCCAAGUCAGUGGUGAAAUCCUGCAGCUUAACUGCAGAAGUGCCUUUGAUACUGGCGAGCUCGAGGGAGGUAGGGGUAUGCGGAACUUCUGGUGGAGCGGUGAAAUGCGUUGAUAUCAGAAGGAACGCCGGUGGCGAAAGCGGCGUACUGGACCUCUUCUGACGCUGAGGCGCGAAAGCUAGGGGAGCAAACGGG
rnacentral:rRNA from 1 species